ACAUCCCGGAGACCCUUAGGAAACUAGGGGUGGCUUCCAUCUGGAAGAAUCUGGAGACAGGUGCUGCAUGGCUGUCGUCAGCUCGUGUCGUGAGAUGUUGGGUUAAGUCCCGCAACGAGCGCAACCCUUGCCUUUAGUUGCCAGCAGUUCGGCUGGGCACUCUAAAGGGACUGCCGGUGUUAAACCGGAGGAAGGUGGGGAUGACGUCAAGUCCUCAUGGCCUUUAUGACCAGGGCUACACACGUACUACAAUGGCCGAUACAAAGGGCAGCGACACUGCGAGGUGAAGCCAAUCCCGUAAAAUCGGUCUCAGUCCGGAUUGGAGUCUGCAACUCGACUCCAUGAAGUUGGAAUCGCUAGUAAUCGUGGAUCAGCAUGCCACGGUGAAUACGUUCCCGGGCCUU
rnacentral:rRNA from 1 species